GCAGCCUGCGCAGGAAGGACGACGCUCCCGUCAGGCUGUGCGGCGCAGACGGGUCGCCCAAUGGAGUUGUCUUCCAGGAGGUUUUAACUUGAUGGUGUGUCCGGAAUUGGUGGGUUCUUGGUCUCACUGACUUCAAGAAUGAAGCCGCAGACCCUCGCGAGAGUUAAGAGAGCAAAUCAAGACAUGAAAAUGAUCCCCCCGUGGAAUAUGCCCCUGCUAUUGAGAGAAUAAACUACUGAUCUAC